GAGACAGGCUGUGAUGGGUUCCUUGGUUGCUGCCCAUUCUAGAAUGCCAGCUGCUUUCUGCAUGUGAGGCAAAUUUUGGUUUGAAUGGAAGCUUGGCCCCUCAUGGUUGGGAGCGCCCCGCCCCUCCCCUCUGAGUCAGAGGGGGAGCACCCUCACCCCCGGCUCCCAUGGACUCUGUCUGAACUCUGGCACUUCCUGCGUCCACAGGGAGUCCUUGCGUGGAGCAUUGAGCUGCCUGCAUUCAAAGGAGCAGCGAGGAAGUGGUGCGGGAGCUCCAUCCCUUGGCCCAGAUCGAGUCACGAGGAGCUGGGAAACGUCUUCUUGUGAGCUGCGAGCCGGGACAGAAAACAAUGGGCUGGACACAGCAUUCGCUCUACCACUCUUGGCCUCCGUCGAGGGGCUCCGGGAGAGUUUUAAGGGAAAAAGCCGUCCCCCCGAGCGCCUUCCCAGGCUCAGGGCGAGCCCUUCAGAGAUCACGUUUUCAGGCCCUGUGGAUGGAUUGCGUGGACUUUCCUUGUGAACCCUUGAUUGUUAUGGCUCGAAAGGAGUACAGUCAUUUCAGACCGCCCCUGCCUAUGAAACCAGAGCAGCUAUUUUGAUUAAUGUGGCCGGUUAAGCUAAACAAAGAGAUUGGCCAUUACCGGGUAAAAUCAGUCACUCCAGAAGCCCCAGCGAGACCGAUUUCUGGAAUCAAAGCUAAUUAAAUCCACAGCUGUGGAUGGAGGGGCUCUACCCACAGACAAGUCCCUUACCCGUUGCUCUGGGAGGAGAAAUAUGGAUUCGAUUUUGGGAAAGCCAACUGGCAAUAUGUAUCGCUAACUUUUAAUUCCUUAUGCAGUCUGACAUAAAGAUGCCACCUCUGCCCUAAGAAUCCAUCUCUAGAAACCCUGCAAAUUUUGGAGGAGAAUCAGAUUCUCACACCUUCGCUGAAGGUGGGGACAUUUACGAAGCACUUAGCUGCACAAGAAGCGGUUGAAUAUAUUGCAAGAUGGGCAAUUCAGAGAAGGCUGUGCAGAACUUAAAAGCAUUCUUACCAAGACUUUUUAUUACAGAGGCUCCAGUAACAUUGAGAAACGUUCUUGAUAUCAUCGUGGAAAAUGGUAGGCACACAACACGCACCAUCUGAUCAGAGUUGUAUCAUAUAUAACGUCAUGGAAUUGAGUAUGAUCACGACAGUAAUAGCAUUCCUUGAAGAUGCACCUUCGGUGAAUUAAUUGCAGGUAGUUUUCACCCAGAUCUAGGAAGCAGGGGCCUCCGUGUGAUGGUAAAAAAAUAGGAAUGCUGAGAGGAAGGCUCGUUGCUCCCUGUCCCCCCUUCCCUCCUCCUUUAGGUCUGCCUCCAAAACCCACGCUCUCAGAAAGCUAGUUCCCUUUGCACAAAUUCAUUUAGGCUCAAAAAUAGAAUUGGAAGGACAAGUAGCCUGACAUUAAUAUGUAGUGGUUAAGUCUAUAUAACAGAAGUGGCAAAAAUUUGGGAGUUUUCUUUAUUAUACUUUAUUUUCACCAAUUUCUGCAUCAUCCAUUACCUUAAAAAUUAUGUAUUAUAUAUUACAUAUAUAUAUAUACAUAUAUAAGUAUACACACACACACAUACACACACACAUGGUUGGUCCUUAAACAACACGGAUUUGAACUAUGUGAGUUCACUUACACGUGGAUUUUUUUUUUUUUUCUUACUAAAUAUUAUACUACACACUCUGAGGUUGGUUGAAUCCACAGAGGUAGAAUCAUGGUUAAGAGGGCCAACUAAAGUUAUAUGCAGAUUUUCAACAACGUUGAAAAUUUCAUGUUGUUCCAGGGUCAACUGUAUAAUUUGCAGCUUAAACAAAUGAGCUUAUUCCUGGGAGUUCCCUGGUGGCUUAGCCGUUAAGGAUCUGGCAAAGUCUCUGCUGGCUUGAGUUCGAUCCCUGGCCUAGGAACUUCCCCCCAAAAAAACCCAAACAACCCCCACAAAUGAGUUCAUUUCCAAAUUGUCAACAACGAUAUGCAGGAGGGAAAAGAUGGGUAAACGUAGCCACAGAGUAUUAGUACGACUGGGUUAUGAGAUAUGAGGAUUUUUUUCCACUGCUUGCUAAUGUUCCAUGCUUUAUGGCUCACGAUUUUCAGAAUAGGCAAAUAAAAAGAAGAAACC
rnacentral:lncRNA from 1 species